rnacentral:tRNA from 1 species
GCUUUCGUGGUGUAAUGGUUAGCACACUGAGCCGGUAUUUCAGAGGUCCGUGGUUCGAUCCCCGGCGAAGGCA